rnacentral:rRNA from 1 species
AUUGAACGCUGGCGGCAGGCCUAACACAUGCAAGUCGAGCGGAUGAAGGGAGCUUGCUCCUGGAUUCAGCGGCGGACGGGUGAGUAAUGCCUAGGAAUCUGCCUGGUAGUGGGGGAUAACGUCCGGAAACGGGCGCUAAUACCGCAUACGACCUGAGGGAGAAAGUGGGGGAUCUUCGGACCUCACGCUAUCAGAUGAGCCUAGGUCGGAUUAGCUAGUUGGUGGGGUAAAGGCCUACCAAGGCGACGAUCCGUAACUGGUCUGAGAGGAUGAUCAGUCACACUGGAACUGAGACACGGUCCAGACUCCUACGGGAGGCAGAAGUGGGGAAUAUUGGACAAUGGGCGAAAGCCUGAUCCAGCCAUGCCGCGUGUGUGAAGAAGGUCUUCGGAUUGUAAAGCACUUUAAGUUGGGAGGAAGGGCAGUAAGUUAAUACCUUGCUGUUUUGACGGUACCAACAGAAUAAGCACCGGCUAACUUCGUG